CACUUUUUCAAUUAGAUGGUAGUCAAGUUAUUGGUUACCUUUCAAGCAGGAAGUUUUACAUCCAAUCAGAGUAAUGAUGUCAACACAUAAAUCAGACGACAUACAGGCAAUUUAGUGACAACCCUACUGUUGUGGUCUUGA